UACGAAGGGGACUAGCGUUGUUCGGAAUUACUGGGCGUAAAGAGCUCGUAGGUGGUUUGUCGCGUCGUGCGUGAAAGCCCCCGGCUCAACUGGGGAGUGUCGUGCGAUACGGGCGGACUGGAGGCCAGUAGGGGGAUGCGGAAUUCCGGGUGUAGUGGUGAAAUGCGUAGAUAUCGGGAGGAACACCAGUGGCGAAGGCGGCUUCCUGGCCUGUUCUUGACGCUGAGGCGCGAAAGCUAGGGGAGCAAACGGG
rnacentral:rRNA from 1 species